rnacentral:rRNA from 1 species
UGCCUGGUGGCACUAGCGCGGUGGUCCCACCUGACCCCAUGCCGAACUCAGAAGUGAAACGCCGUAGCGCCGAUGGUAGUGUGGGGUCUCCCCAUGCGAGAGUAGGGAACUGCCAGGCAU